GCUUCGGCGGUGUAGUGGUAGCACGCGUUCCAGGUAUCAAUGAAACGUGGGUUCGACUCCCGUCUGAGGUC